AGCGUACACGGUGGAUGCCCUGGCAGUCAGAGGCGAUGAAGGACGUGCUAAUCUGCGAAAAGCGUCGGUAAGGUGAUAUGAACCGUUAUAGCCGGCGAUGUCCGAAUGGGGAAACCCAGUGCAAUUCGUUGCACUAUCGUUAACUGAAUACAUAGGUUAACGAGGCGAACCGGGGGAACUGAAACAUCUAAGUACCCCGAGGAAAAGAAAUCAACCGAGAUUCCCCCAGUAGCGGCGAGCGAACGGGGAGCAGCCCGGAGUCUGAAUCAGCUUGUGUGUUAGUGGAAGCGUCUGGAAAGUCGCAGGGUACAGGGUGAUACUCCCGUACACUAAAACACACAGGUUGUGAACUCGAAGAGUAGGGCGGGACACGUGGUAUCCUGUCUGAAUAUGGGGGGACCAUCCUCCAAGGCUAAAUACUCCUGACUGACCGAUAGUGAACCAGUACCGUGAGGGAAAGGCGAAAAGAACCCCGGCGAGGGGAGUGAAAAAGAACCUGAAACCGUGUACGUACAAGCAGUAGGAGCCCACUAGUUGGGUGACUGCGUACCUUUUGUAUAAUGGGUCAGCGACUUAUAUUCUGUAGCAAGGUUAACCGAAUAGGGGAGCCGCAGGGAAACCGAGUCUUAACUGGGCGUUAAGUUGCAGGGUAUAGACCCGAAACCCGGUGAUCUAGCCAUGGGCAGGUUGAAGGUUGGGUAACACUAACUGGAGGACCGAACCGACUAAUGUUGAAAAAUUAGCGGAUGACUUGUGGCUGGGGGUGAAAGGCCAAUCAAACCGGGAGAUAGCUGGUUCUCCCCGAAAGCUAUUUAGGUAGCGCCUCGUGAACUCAUCUUCGGGGGUAGAGCACUGUUUCGGCUAGGGGGUCAUCCCGACUUACCAACCCGAUGCAAACUACGAAUACCGAAGAAUGUUAUCACGGGAGACACACGGCGGGUGCUAACGUCCGUCGUGAAGAGGGAAACAACCCAGACCGCCAGCUAAGGUCCCAAAGUCAUGGUUAAGUGGGAAACGAUGUGGGAAGGCCCAGACAGCCAGGAUGUUGGCUUAGAAGCAGCCAUCAUUUAAAGAAAGCGUAAUAGCUCACUGGUCGAGUCGGCCUGCGCGGAAGAUGUAACGGGGCUAAACCAUGCACCGAAGCUGCGGCAGCGACGCUUAUGCGUUGUUGGGUAGGGGAGCGUUCUGUAAGCCGUUGAAGGUGGCCUGUGAGGGUUGCUGGAGGUAUCAGAAGUGCGAAUGCUGACAUAAGUAACGAUAAUGCGGGUGAAAAACCCGCACGCCGGAAGACCAAGGGUUCCUGUCCAACGUUAAUCGGGGCAGGGUGAGUCGACCCCUAAGGCGAGGCCGAAAGGCGUAGUCGAUGGGAAACAGGUUAAUAUUCCUGUACUUGGUGUUACUGCGAAGGGGGGACGGAGAAGGCUAUGUUGGCCGGGCGACGGUUGUCCCGGUUUAAGCAUGUAGGCGGAUGUUCCAGGUAAAUCCGGAACGUCACUAACGCUGAGGUGUGAUGACGAGGCACUACGGUGCUGAAGUGACAAAUGCCCUGCUUCCAGGAAAAGCCUCUAAGCAUCAGGUAACAUCAAAUCGUACCCCAAACCGACACAGGUGGUCAGGUAGAGAAUACCAAGGCGCUUGAGAGAACUCGGGUGAAGGAACUAGGCAAAAUGGUGCCGUAACUUCGGGAGAAGGCACGCUGAUGGUAAGUGAAGUGACUUGCUCAUGGAGCUGAAAUCAGUCGAAGAUACCAGCUGGCUGCAACUGUUUAUUAAAAACACAGCACUGUGCAAACACGAAAGUGGACGUAUACGGUGUGACGCCUGCCCGGUGCCGGAAGGUUAAUUGAUGGGGUUAUCCUCGCGGAGAAGCUCUUGAUCGAAGCCCCGGUAAACGGCGGCCGUAACUAUAACGGUCCUAAGGUAGCGAAAUUCCUUGUCGGGUAAGUUCCGACCUGCACGAAUGGCGUAAUGAUGGCCAGGCUGUCUCCACCCGAGACUCAGUGAAAUUGAACUCGCUGUGAAGAUGCAGUGUACCCGCGGCAAGACGGAAAGACCCCGUGAACCUUUACUAUAGCUUGACACUGAACACUGGUCCUUGAUGUGUAGGAUAGGUGGGAGGCUUUGAAGUGUGGACGCCAGUCUGCAUGGAGCCGUCCUUGAAAUACCACCCUUUAAUGGCUGGUGUUCUAACGUGGGCCCGUGAUCCGGGUUGCGGACAGUGUCUGGUGGGUAGUUUGACUGGGGCGGUCUCCUCCUAAAGAGUAACGGAGGAGCACGAAGGUCAGCUAAUCCUGGUCGGACAUCAGGAGGUUAGUGCAAUGGCAUAAGCUGGCUUGACUGCGAGCGUGACGGCGCGAGCAGGUGCGAAAGCAGGUCAUAGUGAUCCGGUGGUUCUGAAUGGAAGGGCCAUCGCUCAACGGAUAAAAGGUACUCCGGGGAUAACAGGCUGAUACCGCCCAAGAGUUCAUAUCGACGGCGGUGUUUGGCACCUCGAUGUCGGCUCAUCACAUCCUGGGGCUGAAGUAGGUCCCAAGGGUAUGGCUGUUCGCCAUUUAAAGUGGUACGCGAGCUGGGUUUAGAACGUCGUGAGACAGUUCGGUCCCUAUCUGCCGUGGGCGCUGGAGAAUUGAGGGGGGCUGCUCCUAGUACGAGAGGACCGGAGUGGACGCAUCACUGGUGUUCGGGUUGUCAUGCCAAUGGCAUUGCCCGGUAGCUAAAUGCGGAAGAGAUAAGUGCUGAAAGCAUCUAAGCACGAAACUUGCCCCGAGAUGAGUUCUCCCUGACUCCUUGA
rnacentral:rRNA from 1 species